AGAGUUUGAUCCUGGCUCAGGAUGAACGCUAGCUACAGGCUUAACACAUGCAAGUCGAGGGGCAGCAUUUCAGUUUGCUUGCAAACUGGAGAUGGCGACCGGCGCACGGGUGAGUAACACGUAUCCAACCUGCCGAUAACUCGGGGAUAGCCUUUCGAAAGAAAGAUUAAUACCCGAUGGUAUAAUCAGACCGCAUGGUCUUGUUAUUAAAGAAUUUCGGUUAUCGAUGGGGAUGCGUUCCAUUAGGCAGUUGGUGAGGUAACGGCUCACCAAACCUUCGAUGGAUAGGGGUUCUGAGAGGAAGGUCCCCCACAUUGGAACUGAGACACGGUCCAAACUCCUACGGGAGGCAGCAGUGAGGAAUAUUGGUCAAUGGGCGCAGGCCUGAACCAGCCAAGUAGCGUGAAGGAUGACUGCCCUAUGGGUUGUAAACUUCUUUUAUAUGGGAAUAAAGUUUUCCACGUGUGGAAUUUUGUAUGUACCAUAUGAAUAAGGAUCGGCUAACUCCGUGCCAGCAGCCGCGGUAAUACGGAGGAUCCGAGCGUUAUCCGGAUUUAUUGGGUUUAAAGGGAGCGUAGGUGGACAGUUAAGUCAGUUGUGAAAGUUUGCGGCUCAACCGUAAAAUUGCAGUUGAUACUGGCUGUCUUGAGUACAGUAGAGGUGGGCGGAAUUCGUGGUGUAGCGGUGAAAUGCUUAGAUAUCACGAAGAACUCCGAUUGCGAAGGCAGCUCACUGGACUGCAACUGACACUGAUGCUCGAAAGUGUGGGUAUCAAACAGGAUUAGAUACCCUGGUAGUCCACACAGUAAACGAUGAAUACUCGCUGUUUGCGAUAUACAGUAAGCGGCCAAGCGAAAGCAUUAAGUAUUCCACCUGGGGAGUACGCCGGCAACGGUGAAACUCAAAGGAAUUGACGGGGGCCCGCACAAGCGGAGGAACAUGUGGUUUAAUUCGAUGAUACGCGAGGAACCUUACCCGGGCUUAAAUUGCAUUUGAAUAUAUUGGAAACAGUAUAGCCGUAAGGCAAAUGUGAAGGUGCUGCAUGGUUGUCGUCAGCUCGUGCCGUGAGGUGUCGGCUUAAGUGCCAUAACGAGCGCAACCCUUAUCUUUAGUUACUAACAGGUCAUGCUGAGGACUCUAGAGAGACUGCCGUCGUAAGAUGUGAGGAAGGUGGGGAUGACGUCAAAUCAGCACGGCCCUUACGUCCGGGGCUACACACGUGUUACAAUGGGGGUACAGAAGGCAGCUACCUGGUGACAGGAUGCUAAUCCCAAAAGCCUCUCUCAGUUCGGAUCGAAGUCUGCAACCCGACUUCGUGAAGCUGGAUUCGCUAGUAAUCGCGCAUCAGCCAUGGCGCGGUGAAUACGUUCCCGGGCCUUGUACACACCGCCCGUCAAGCCAUGAAAGCCGGGGGUACCUGAAGUACGUAACCGCAAGGAGCGUCCUAGGGUAAAACUGGUAAUUGGGGCUAAGUCGUAACAAGGUAGCCGUACCGGAAGGUGCGGCUG
rnacentral:rRNA from 1 species